rnacentral:lncRNA from 1 species
CUCAGGCAUUGGAAAGAGUUUUGAGUUGUUAAAUUUUGCCAUUGGUCAUGCUCUGAUGUGCAUGCAAGCUUGAGGAGAUCAUUGGCACAACUGGAAUACAGAAUGAGAAGAUUCCCCACUUUGUUUAUUUUUGGCUUUUAAAGCCAAUAAAAAUUCUGAGUGUUCCACACGCUUGUGCUUUGCUAGUGGCUGUACCUAUCAUCUAAUCUGCU